rnacentral:lncRNA from 1 species
UAACUGGCUUAUACUGGGAGGGACUGGGACGGACUGGGGUGAACUGGGAGGGGUUUGGGAGUUACUGGUUUAUACUGGGAUACACUGGGAUGGAAGUGGGAUCGAACUGGUUCGUACUGGGAUGCACUGAGAUGGGUUUUGGGGUUACUGGUUUAUACUGGGAGGCACUGGGGUGAACUGGGAUCAAACUGGGAGGGACUGGGAGGGAACUGGAAGGGGUUUGGGAGUUACUGGUUUAUACUGGGAUGGACUGGGGGGGGUUUCGGGGGUUACUGGUUUGUACUGGGAGGGACUGGAAGGGAACUGGGAAGAGGUUUGGCCUUACUGGGAUGCACUGGUUUAUACUGGGAGAGGAUUUGGGCUUCACUGGUUUGUACUGGUUUGUACUGGUUUGUACUGGGAGGCUCUGACUCUGCCCCUCCCCCCUCCCAGCGCGAGUGGGGGCGGAGCUUCUCCAGGGAGGACCAAUCGCAGCUGAGCUCCCAGUUCCUGCCCAACCAGGAGGCGGCGCUGGAGCCCCACCCCCAGAAGGUUUUCUGCGGGAUUUUCUCCGAGUGCGGCCGCAGGUUCCUGACGGCGUGUCAGGGUGAGCGACACGGAGCGGACCGGACCGGACCCGGACCAGCCCCCGACCCGGACCAGCCCCCGCCGUCCGCAACGGCAACACCCCAUAAUAACACCUCGAAAUAGCAUCCCGAAAUACCCCAAAAACAUACCAAAAUAUCCGGAAAUAUCCCAAAAUAUCCCCAAAAUAACAUCCCAAAAUACCCCANCCUGGGCUUCACUGGGAUGAACAGGGAAGGUGCUGGUCCAUACUGGCUUAUACUGGUUCAAACUGGUCCAUACUGGUCUGUACUGGUCUGUACUGGUCCGUACUGGUCCAUACUGGUCCAUACUGGUUUAUAGUGGUCCAUACUGGUCCGUACUGGUCCAUACUGCUCCGUACUGGUCCAUACUGGUCCAUACUGAUCCGUACUGGUUUGUACUGGUCCAUAGUGGUCUAUACUGGUUUAUACUGGUUUAUACUGGUCCUUACUUGUUUAUAGUGGUUUAUACUGGUUCAUACUAGUCCAUACUGGUUUAAACUGGUCUGUACUGGUCUGUACUGCUCCUUACUGGUCCAUACUGGUCUAUACUGGUCCAUACUGGUCUGUCCUGGUCUGUA